rnacentral:rRNA from 1 species
UACGUAGGGUGCGAGCGUUGUCCGGAAUUAUUGGGCGUAAAGAGCUCGUAGGCGGUCUGUCGCGUCGAAUGUGAAAACCCGGGGCUCAACUCCGGGCUUGCAUUCGAUACGGGCAGGCUAGAGUUCGGUAGGGGAGUCUGGAAUUCCUGGUGUAGCGGUGAAAUGCGCAGAUAUCAGGAGGAACAUCGGUGGCGAAGGCGGGACUCUGGGCCGAUACUGACGCUGAGGAGCGAAAGCGUGGGGGAGCGAACAGG